GCCGGGAUGGCGGAAUGGUAGACGCGCGACGCUUAAAACGUCUUGGGACAUAGUCCCGUGUGAGUUCGAGUCUCACUCCCGGCA
rnacentral:tRNA from 2 species